CGCCCCGGGAGAGGCGCUCGCAGAGCCAGGCGAAGAGCAGCCCGAGCUGGAAGGCGACGAAGCGGAGCAGCGCGAAGGCGGCGAAGAGCGGGCGCCUGGCAACAGGGAAUGCACAGCAGGACUGAUGUUCCUGAACCAGAAGAGCGAGUCCCUGGCUAUGGUAACCUCUCUCACGCCCAUAUACAAACCCUUUAUGUUUCGAAUAAAGGACAAGUUGGAAAUUA